rnacentral:rRNA from 1 species
AGUACGAGAGGACCGGGAUGGACGCACCGCUGGUGUACCAGUUGUUCUGCCAAGGGCAUCGCUGGGUAGCUAUGUGCGGACGGGAUAAGUGCUGAAAGCAUCUAAGCAUGAAGCCCCCCUCAAGAUGAGAUUUCCCAUUCCGCAAGGAAGUAAGAUCCCUGAAAGAUGAUCAGGUUGAUAGGUCUGAGGUGGAAGCGUGGUGACACGUGGAGCUGACAGAUACUAAUAGAUCGAGGACUUAACCUAU